UACGAAGGGUGCAAGCGUUAAUCGGAAUUACUGGGCGUAAAGCGCGCGUAGGCGGCUCUGCAAGUCGGAUGUGAAAUCCCCGGGCUUAACCUGGGAACUGCAUUCGAGACUGCAUUGCUAGAGUAUGGGAGAGGGAAGUGGAAUUUCCGGUGUAGCGGUGAAAUGCGUAGAUAUCGAGAGGAACACCUGCGGCGAAGGCGGGUUGCUGGGCUGACACUGACGCUGAGGCGCGAAAGCUAGGGGAGCGAACGGG
rnacentral:rRNA from 1 species